CUUUCCUAGGGCCGCACCCAUGGCAUAUAGAUAGAGAUUCCCAGGCUAGGGGUCUAAUCAGAGCUGUAGCCACUGGCCUAUGCCAGAGCCACAGCAACUCGGGAUCCGAGCCAAGUCUGCAACCUACACCACAACUCAUGGCAAUGCGGGAUCCUUAACCCACUGAGCAAGGCCAGGUAUCGAACCCACAACCUCAUCGGUCCUAGUUGGAUUCGUUAACCAUUGAGCCAUGACAGGAACUCCCAGCCAGGGUUUUUAAUCUGGUCCUCAUGGACAGACUUCAAGGAUAUCUGUGAAUCCUUUGAAAUCUUUUUUUAUGUCUCUUUUAUUCCCCCUUGGGAAAGGAGGCUUCAUUUCAUAUUCCAGAUUAUUAAAGAGAUCUGUGACCUAAAAAAGUUUUAACAGUUGCUGCUUUGGAAUGUAUUUUAAAUGAACUCUAAUUUGGCAAACCCAGUUAUCUCUUAAAGAAAACCUAUUGUCUUAUAUGUGAAGAAUUAGACCAAGAUUUGAAAAUACAAAUAGUCUUAAGAUUCUUGAUUAGGAAAUAACAUUUAGAAAAAAAGCAAAAAUACCUUUGAUAUUUAAGAUCCUAUCUCUCUAAAAAAUCUUAAAAAAAAAAUUCUUGCUUUUAUCAUUCUCUUUCAUGAAAGCCCAUAGCAGUUUUAUUCCCUUCACAGUCUCUAGUAUGAAGUUUAAGAAUUAUUCUUUCAUUAGCAUAUAUCUUUCAGUGUUCAUAUAUUUUAACUUUUUCUAGACAAAAAUCCAUCUUUCUAAUUAAAUAUAGAUAUUUCUGCUACAGUGGUUAAUAGCUUAGGCUUUGGAAUCAAAAUAUCCAAGUUUGAAUUCUGAUAUAUGCUAGUCUGAGGCCAUAGAAAAGUUGUAGUACCUGGAAACCUCUAUUUCCUCUAUUUCAAAAAAGAUGUGGGAUAAUAACAGAACCUAAUUUGAAGUGUUUCUAUAAAAAUUAAAUUAGGUUAUGUAAAGAAGGCUUGAUACAAUAAAUUCAUUCCUUCCAAACAGAACAGCCCUCUCAAAUUCAAGUUAUUCUCAUCAGAAAUUAUAAUUAAGGAGUUCCCGUCGUGGCGCAGUGGUUAACGAAUCCGACUAGGAACCAUGAGGUUGCGGGUUCGGUGCCUGCCCUUGCUCAGUGGGUUAACGAUCCGGCGUUGCCGUGAGCUGUGGUGUAGGUUGCAGACGCGGCUCGGAUCCCGCGUUGCUGUGCCUCUGGCGUAGGCCAGUGGCUACAGCUCCGAUUCAACCCCUAGCCUGGGAACCUCCAUAUGCCGCAGGAGCGGCCCAAGAAAUAGCAACAACAACAACAACAAAAACAACAAAAAAGGACAAAAGACAAAAGNUUAAGACAAAGAUCCUGCAGAAGAUUCAGAUGCACUGAAGUCACUAACUUGUUUUAAUUACUUUUACUUUUUCUAGCUUUAUUGAGAUAUAAUUGACAUAUAAUAUUGUGUAAGUUUAACGUGUACAAUAUGUUGAUUUAAUACUCAUACAUUACAAAAUGAUACCACAGUAACUUGCAUUAGCUAACACCUGCAUCAUCUCACAUGAUCACCAUUUCAUUGUUGUGGUGAGAGUAUUUAAGAUCUACUCUUUCAAGUACACGAUACCAUGUUAUUAAUUACAGUCACUAUGCUUUACAUUAGAUCCCUAGAACUUAUUCAUCUUAUAACUGGAAGUUCAUCCUCUUUGAUCAGCACCUCUCUUUUGUCCUACUCUCCAGCUCCUGGUAACCACCAUCCUAGUCUCUGUUUCUAUGAGCUCAGCUUUGUAAAAUUCCACAUGUAUCUAUCUCUUCAAGACCCUGUUUUCAUUUCCUUCAGAUACCUACUGAAGAAGUGGGCUUGCUGGAUCAUAUGGCAGAUUUAGUUUUAAUUUUCUGAGGACCAUCAUACUGUUUUCCAGAGUGACUGAAAUAAUUUACAUUUCCACCAACAGUGCAAAGGAUCCCUUUUCUCCACAUCCUUACCAACACUUCCCUGUUGAAGAGGUGGGAAGAUGAAGAAAGCCCUCCCAGGCCUUCUGACCUCAGUGUGGAAAGCCAAGCACCAGAUUCCCCUCUGGUGUUUGCAUAGCUGGGAGCUUCGCUAGUUGUCCCUGAUGAAGAGACUGGACUUGAAUGAUCUUAAUUCUAAUUGCAAAUCUGCUUAUAUCUUCUAGCUUUCCCUGCUCCGCCUCUAAGCUCAUUCCUUGGCUUAUCCCUCUUUUCCCCUAUUCUUUCCCAACCCAAACACUCUAUACCCUCUAGACUGAAUUGCUGAUCAUCUCAUCAACAAAGAAUGUGGAUUGUGAGGCUGACAAACUUUGACUUAAAUUCUGUGUUGCUUAUUAUCUGCGUGAUGUGGGACACAUUGCUUCACCUCACUAAGCCUCAGUUUUCUCAUGUGUAAUAAGGGGGGAAGUUAUACAUUUUUCAUAGGUUCUGGAGCUUCAAAGGGCUCAUGUUAUGGUUACUUAUUGCUGAAUAACAAACCACCUUGGAUCACAGUAGGUUAAAAUAGUGAGUUACAUUUAUUUUGCCCAUAAAUCUUCAAUUUAGGUAAAGUUCCAAGAGAAAGAAAGCCAGGUGGAAAACAAUGCCUUUUAUGACCUCACCUGGAGGUCUUAGAGGGUGACUUCUGCUAUUUUCUGCUCAUUAAGGAAGUCACAAAAUUCCACUGUUUCAAGGGGAGUGAAAAUAGACUCUACUGUUUGAAAGGCCUUAACUUUUAUGCAAACUUCCUCUGAAAGAAAUUUUGCCAUAUGGUUGAUUACUCUUAGGAUCGAGGUGAUUUACCAUUACAGUUAAAGAGAAAACCAGAAUGUGAGGCAAAGCUAAGUUCUCAAGAGAAAAUUAAACAUAGAAAAAUUCCUUAGCUCCAGUAUCAUUGGUGAGUACAACCAGAAAUCACUACAGAAGAAUUAUCACCUAUUCAGAGUUCUCCUGGACUUUUAAAGGAUAUGGCCUUCAUAUCUGUUAUCACAGAGACUGAAAUGGAACUCAGGAAAUCAUUGUUAACCAAACAAUUGCAAGCUUUGCCAGUAAUUUUCCUUUCAAAAUGUCCUUUAGUGAUGAAAAUCAGAGUACAGGAGCAAAUGCACCAAGUAUUCAACACCUAUUUUUAAAAAUAUUCAUUGUUAUUUGGGCAAUAAAUUUUUCAUAAUAACAUUUAAAUUUACUACAUAACUUAGGGUGCCAACUCCUGGGUAAGACCCAUUGAGACUGGCAUUAUUACUAUCCCCAUUUUACAGAUAAUAAGUUAGGUAUAAAGAAGGUUAAGUAUCUUAUACAAACUCUGUAUAUCCCAAUCAGGCUGGGCUCAUCCUCAGGUAAUGUGGCUGUAAAGGCUAUAUUUCUAACCAUGCCACUAAACUGCUUAUUACAGCGAUCUUCUUUUAAAAAGACUCACUCCUAUGUGAAAUCCAGUUAUUUGGAUAAGGACAUGCUGUGCAGCCAGAAUUUUUAAAGUUAAGUGAUAAAGAUAGUUGAGAGAAUAAUGAGUAAGUAUUCCCAUGAGAAUUAAAAAAAGAAAAAACUUUUAUCCAAAAAGUUAAACUUGCUAAUUCAAAAAUGCAUGUAGUAGACCAAAUGAAAAUAGCCUCAGAUUACAAAUGACUAUAUUUUGCAUGGUUUCUUCCAUUUAUAUCUAUAUGUUCUAAAUGUGAAUAUAUUUUCCAGCCUUUAUAAUACUUCAUAUACUAGCUACUGCAUACUGCUUUUACUUAGUGAUAUACUAUUAUCACUUCUUAUGUAACAUAACAUGGGCUUUACCAGAUCUCAUUGCAUGGCUAUUCUAUAUUAAGUUAUCCUGUAGAGUCAUACAGGUGGACUGUCAGAAUAGAUACAUAAGUUGCUCUUCUUUCUUCUCUCGCAUGUUCUGAUUUGUUUUAGCUAUACUAUUUAUUUUGAAAUUUCAAAAAAUGUUAGUGGAAAAUAACCAUUCCUCUACCCACUUUUAGGAGAAAAUUUGAUGGGAUAAAUGAUUUACUCAAUGGCCCACAGGAAGACAAGGGCUAAAAAGGGUGGAGAAUGAUUUAAUCAACAUGGCAUUGUUGGAUAUUUAAAUGAAAACAUUUUGUACAAAAAUCAUAUUAGUUCUCAUUAGGGUCAGGAUAAAUUCCAAAGGAUGUGAAUGCAGGAUGUGAAAAUUUAAAUUUUUAAUACUCUUGCUACAUAAUGCCUAACUGCUUGCUAGUAAUUUUAUGAGCUUAUAUCUUCACCAAUAUAGUGUGAGAAAGCUCAUUAUCUUACACAUAUAUAUAUAAUUUUGGUAUUAAAAUUAUAUAUUUGUUAUUUUUCCAUCCCUGGCCUGGCCUGGGAACUUCCACAUGCUGCUGGGCGGGGGGGCGCGGGGGGGGGGGAUUCAUAUUGCUUUGAUUUCUUACUUUUUUUUACAUAUCUUCAUAUUCUCUUGGUCAAACAAAUCUAUCCUGUCAGAACAUAGAAAUAAAUUACUAUGACUUUCUUCCUGGGUUACUAUAUAUACAUGCUGUUACCCUGAUUAUAACAAUGACUUUCAUUCACUAAACAUUAAACAGUGCAGGCAAUGAGUAGCCUGAGCUUGACAGUCAUUUCCAUUAUCUCAUUUAACCCUCAAAACAACUCUGUAUUGUUAUUCUCAUUUUCUUAACGCUUUGAGGUGUUAAGGAGAGUAGACCCAAGUCACAGAGAUGAGCUGAAACACAGUAUUUGAGCAGACUCACACCCUUGUAAUUAAGCACUUAGGGGGCGGGGGAGGGCGCACCUUGCGCAAAAACAAAAACAACCAGAACAAAACCAAAGCCGGUUCCCGCCCACUCACUGUUUUCUUCUAAUAAUCACGAGAUUCUAAAUUAAAACAGAUGUGACUUUUUGGCUGCCAGACAUGGCUAUCGACCAGUUUAUCUCACUCCUAGCGUCUCUAGUGUCAGGGGUCACUUGAAGAGGCAAACAGGUUUGAGGCAAACAGUACACGUCUUUCCCCUUCGCAAAGGGAAACAGCCUGACAGAGUCACAGAAAACGGAGGGGGUACCACCAUUUUUAAAUCUUCAGAGCUCGAGCGGCCAAAUUUUACCUCUAAGUCUUAGGAGACCAAGGUAACGAAACAGGUAGACCGAUCGAGCACAGCACCAGGCCUUCAGCGCUGUAGAAAGGCGGAGAAUGGACGCAAACGUGACGCACGCUUCCGGGCUACACCCCC
rnacentral:lncRNA from 1 species